ACGGCGAGUGAAGCGGCAACAGCUCAAAUUUGAAAUCUGGCUUCGGCCCGAGUUGUAAUUUGCAGAGGAUGCUUUUGGUGCGGUGCCUUCCGAGUUCCCUGGAACGGGACGCCACAGAGGGUGAGAGCCCCGUAUGGUCGGACACCAAUCCUGUGUAAAGCUCCUUCGACGAGUCGAGUAGUUUGGGAAUGCUGCUCUAAAUGGGAGGUAAAUCUCUUCUAAAGCUAAAUACCGGCCAGAGACCGAUAGCGCACAAGUAGAGUGAUCGAAAGAUGAAAAGCACCUUGAAAAGGGGGUUAAACAGUACGUGAAAUUGUUGAAAGGGAAGCACUUGUGACCAGACUUGGGCCGGGCGGCUCAUCAGGGGUUCUCCCCUGUGCAUUCCGCCCGGUACAGGCCAGCAUCGGUUCUUACCGGGGGAUAAGAACGGCAGGAACGUGGCUCCCUCUCGGGGGAGUGUUAUAGCCUGCCGUACGAUACCCUGGCGGGGACCGAGGUUCGCGCUUCCGCAAGGAUGCUGGCGUAAUGGUUACUAGUGACCCGUCUUGAAACACGGACCAAGGAGUCGUCCAUUAGAGCGAGCGUUUGGGUGUAAAACCCGCACGCGUAAUGAAAGUGAAAUUAGGUGAGAGCUUCGGCGCAUCAUCGACCGAUCCUGAUGUUCUCGGAUGGAUUUGAGUAAGAGUUUUAACGGACGGACCCGAAAGACAGUGAACUAUGCUUGUAUAGGGUGAAGCCAGAGGAAACUCUGGUGGAGGCUCGCAGCG
rnacentral:rRNA from 1 species